rnacentral:sRNA from 1 species
GCCAGGUGCAGUGGUGCACACCUGUAAUCCCAGAGGCUCAGGGGGCUAAGGCGCGAGGAUCACUAGUUCAGCCAGCCUCGGCAACUUAGUGAGACCCUGUCUCUA